CGGGGGUUGAUCUGUUGGCAAAACUUGGGAAUGUUGCGGAGGCUCGGCCGCCAGAGAGGUUCGGAGAGAUGCCACCGAAGGUCGGAAGUCGGUUGGAUCCCCGGAGGGUCACUCCUGUCAUGAACUUCGACUGGGGGGUAUUUUAUACCCAACACCAGUCCCCCUACUUUCGAGUUCGAAUUUCGAAUGAAGUAUAGAAAAAUUUUCGCAGUCGAAGUUGUCCCCUUGAAUCCUGUGC
rnacentral:lncRNA from 1 species